UGCGAACGUCAGGUCUCCCCUGAAUGAAAAUGUGAUACAAGGGAGGUAAGUGCAGUCGGGCUGUCUUCCUUCAGUAAUCUGUGGAGAAAAUUGCUGCCCCACAUCUCAAGCACUUAGCCCAGAACAUACCUGUGCUGGCAGUGCCAGAGGACCAACAAUCAGGUCUUAAGAUCUGCCACUCUGCCAGAAGCUGUUAAAUCAGCCAAGCUGAAGAAGCAAGAGCAGCAUCUCCUGCUUGUUCAGAUUGAGUGGUCUAUCUACCAGAAGAUGGUUUCUGACUGCGAGACCACCUGUCAAGACCUGCAGUUGUCUCUGGGGAGCCCUACUGAAGCAGCAAGCAAAGACAUCAGGUUGUAUUACAGAUUUGAUUUUCCUCAACAGGUGCACUCUCCUUUUGACCCUAUGCAGCCAGGGUCCAUCUACUUUUUAACAAGAACAAGUUUGUGCUCUGGUUAUUGUUCCUGGCAGACCAUACACAAGCUCCACCACAGUCUGGACCUUCACUUCCUGAUCACAGGCCACACAAAGUCUUCCCCUGACUGGUUGUUCGGCCUCAUCAAGCAGCACUUCAGAAAGACCUGAGUGAACACUGUGUCAGAGAUGGCUGGUAUGGUGAAGGACAGCACUGUGACAGGGGUUAAAAUCCCACAGCUGGUUGGACUGAAGGAUGUUACGGUGCUGGAAAAAACCUAUGGCUAGCAACCACACCUGACCUGUACUUCAGACCACUGCCACAGAUCAAGCAAUACCAGCACUUCAGCUUUAAUGCUCUGGAGCCUGGUGUUGUUGUCACCAAGGAGCGUUCGGACUCAGUCGGUACCUGCUGCGGAACGCUGACGUCUUUCCUCCUAUAGGUGGUCUGCCUGUACGAGCACCACCUGGACUGGACACAACUAGAUAAACAUAUAUUUUUAAAAGAUCAGGGAGUUUUGCAACGAAGAGGACAUGGACAUCAUAUGCCCUACACCAAAGUCAAGGGCAGGACAGAAACAGGCUCUCCGAAUAUAGGUUCCCUUGUUCAUGCGUGGUGCGGAUGGACCAGCUCAUCACUGGGUGCAAGUUCCCAGUCAUCUGGACUAUCUGCAGUGCCUAGGGCUGUGGCGGUUGCGAGAUUUCAUCAUUCGGUUAUUGUCAAGCAACUACACCUUAACAAUAAAUCCAUGAUUUACUUUAGGCAGGUCUAAAGAAGCAUGAUAUGAAGAAAAUGUAGUAUAGCAUGCUUUAAGUUGUCCUUAUGUUAGGUCCUGAUCUGGCUAUGCCAAAUGGCUGUGGGCUACACUAGUUCAUUUAACAAACAAGAUUUGCUUAGAAUUCAGUGGCAUUAUUUUAUAGUAUGAAGAAUACAAUUGGACAAAGCUGAAUAAAAUAGAAAGGAUAUUUUCUCCAAACGAUUUGAGGGAGCGCGCAAAUUUCUAUUCUGUGUUGAGCGGUUAACAAAGAAAUAGGUAUUCCUAUACGCUUAAUUUAGAAUUAUUAAUGUAACUUUAGUUGUUCUACAAACUUUGGGCUAUAUACAGUAUUUUGAUUUUGAAUACAUUGUAAGGCUGCAUGAUGCGAUUGUAAUGAUUAUAAAUAUAUAUUAUUUUGUUCUUUCUUUACUAGCAUUGACACUUAUAUUUUAUAUUUAUAUUGACACUUUCUAUUUUUGAUAUUGCUACUAUACAAAUAUGCAAGUAACCAUUUCACUGUACCCAUCCACUUAGCUAGACGUUGCUAUGGGGUGAUUAUAGCCUGAUUACAGGUGUGUCUGGAGGUGAUUACGGCCAUGUAACGAUCGUCUGGAAGAGGGGACCAAGAUGCAGCGUGGUAAGUGGUCAUAAUGAUUUUUAAUGAGACACUUCAAAAACAAACAGGGAAAACGAAAGCCAACAGUUCUGCCAGGUGAACACACACAAGACAGAAAAC
rnacentral:lncRNA from 1 species